CCUACGGGCGGCAGCAGUGGGGGAUAUUGCACAAUGGGGGGAACCCUGAUGCAGCGACGCCGCGUGGGUGAAGAAGCGCCUCGGCGCGUAAAGCCCUGUCAGCAGGGACGAAAAUGACGGUACCUGAAGAAGAAGCCCCUGCUAACUACGAGCCAGCAGCCGCGGUAAUACGUAGGGGGCAAGCGUUAUGCGGAUUUACUGGGUGGAAAGGGGGCGCAGACGGCGUUGCAAGCCAGGCGUGAAAGCCCGGGGCCCACACGCGGGAGGGCGCUUGGAACUGCGUGGCUGGAGUGCAGGAGGGGCGAGCGGAAUUCCAUGUGUAGCGGUGAAAUGCGUAGAUAUAAGGAGGAACACCAGUGGCGAAGGCGGCCUGCUGGACUGCAACUGACGUUGAGGCCCGAAAGCGUGGGGAGCAAACAGGAUUAGAUACCCGAGUAGUC
rnacentral:rRNA from 1 species